GGUUGGCUGCGCCGUUAGAGAUUGGCCCAGUAGAAGCGGUAUCCUUGAAGGGGUGAAGAAGGCGCGAGAGAAACUCAUUUCGAUUCCGCUCAGCGGACAAAGACCUUAAUCAUGUAUCCUCCCGCCAAACGACACUGCCUGAGUCUUAACUCACUGAAUUACAGCUUUCAAAAAGCCUCAAUUGCAUGAAAUAUACAAAUGCAUGAAGUCACUAUAGGAUAAAGGAAGAGAAGAAAAGGAAUUCAACUGGAAUAUCUAGAAAACCUUCACAUGAAAUCUGGCUUUAUGAGAGGACAAUGAGAAUGGAUUCUGACAAUCUGAAAGACAUACUCAUUUUGGUCUUAGAUGUGAAUGAAAAUUUCAGAAAUGAUGCAAUAAAACAAGAAUACCAAUUA